rfam:Laribacter hongkongensis HLHK9, complete genome.
CCAUUGAGAUGCAGCAACUGCUUCUUGAUAGUUUCUCCUCUAUUUCUCCUUUGUAGAUUGCGGCGCGGCCCUCACGGACUGCGCCAUUUUU